rnacentral:rRNA from 1 species
UACGUAGGGCGCAAGCGUUGUCCGGAAUUAUUGGGCGUAAAGAGCCCGUAGGCGGCUUGUCGCGUCGGAUGUGAAAGCCCGGGGCUUAACCCCGGGUCUGCAUUCGAUACGGGCAGGCUGGAGUGUGGUAGGGGAGAUCGGAAUUCCUGGUGUAGCGGUGAAAUGCGCAGAUAUCAGGAGGAACACCGGUGGCGAAGGCGGAUCUCUGGGCCAUUACUGACGCUGAGGAGCGAAAGCGUGGGGAGCGAACAGG